GAGGGUAGAGCUCAGUGGUAGAGCACAUGCCUAGCAUGCAUGAGGUCCUGGGUUCAAUCCCCAGUACCUCUA
rnacentral:tRNA from 1 species